AUUGAACGCUGGCGGCAGGCCUAACACAUGCAAGUCGAACGAGUGGCGGACGGGUGAGUAAUGUCUGGGAAACUGCCUGAUGGAGGGGGAUAACUACUGGAAACGGUAGCUAAUACCGCAUACCAUCGGAUGAGCCCAGAUGGGAUUAGCUAGUAGGUGGGGUAACGGCUCACCUAGGCGACGAUCCCUAGCGGGUCUGAGAGGAUGACCAGCGACACGGGAACGGAGACACGGUCCCGACUCCUCCGGGAGGCAGCAGUGGGGAAUAUUGGACAAUGGGCGCAAGCCUGAUGCAGCCAUGCCGCGUGUAUGAAGAAGGCCUUCGGUUUGUAAAGUACUUUCAGCGGGGCGGCGUUACCCGCAGAAGAAGCACCGGCUAACUCCGUGCCAGCAGCCGCGGUAAUAC
rnacentral:rRNA from 1 species